AAAACUUUUAAACAAGUCCUGUGAGGCUUGGAAGGUUAAAAUACAUUUGAGCUAAAAGUGUAAACUUCCUAACCUUGUGGGAUAGGAAGUUUUUUGUU
rfam:Lactobacillus ginsenosidimutans strain EMML 3041, complete genome.